AACGAACGCUGGCGGCAUGCCUAACACAUGCAAGUCGAACGAAACCUUCGGGUCUAGUGGCGCACGGGUGCGUAACGCGUGGGAACGUGCCCUUAGGUUCGGAAUAACUCCCCGAAAGGGGUGCUAAUACCGAAUAAUGUCUUCGGACCAAAGAUUAAUCGCCUUUGGAUGGGCCCGCGUUGGAUUAGCUAGUUGGUAGGGUAAAGGCCUACCAAGGCGACGAUCCAUAGCUGGUCUGAGAGGAUGAUCAGCCACACUGGGACUGAGACACGGCCCAGACUCCUACGGGAGGCAGCAGUGGGGAAUAUUGCGCAAUGGGCGAAAGCCUGACGCAGCCAUGCCGCGUGAAUGAUGAAGGUCUUAGGGUUGUAAAGUUCUUUAACCCGGGAUGAUAAUGACGGUACCGGGAGAAGAAGCCCCGGCUAACUUCGUG
rnacentral:rRNA from 1 species